AGAGAGGAAGAGCAAAUGGAUACUGAGGGACUGUCUGCUGUAUGCAUCACCAUGCAGGUGCAUGUGUGUGCCUUGUGUGCACACGUGUCUGUCUGUGCAUGUACAAGUGCUAUGGACGUGUUUGCAUGUAUGUGUGUUUGUGCUUGUGCGAAUGUGUGUGUAUGCAUGUGUACACGCUUGUGGGCAUGUGUGUGAUGGGGGGGGGCAUUUGGAGGAGUAGCAGACAUCAAGACCAGAGAGAAGGAGGCAUUAUCAAAAAGACCAUCACAUGGAGUUCCCGGCGUGGCACAGAGGAAACGAAUCCGAUUGGGAACCAUGAAGUUGCAGGUUUGGUCCCUGGCCUCGAUUAGCAAAACAGGUUUAUCUGGGAGCAGCAAAGAAUUGGAACUGUGGAAGACCACAUCCAAGUCCAGUAAAGGAGAGGAAACCUUAUAUAGAGAAGGGGAAGUCGGAAGGGGCUGUUAUAAACAAAAGGUCUAUUGGAGAAAGCUGGGAUUUUGAAGUAUAGCGGCUUUUCAUUGGCUGAGCUGUGACAAGCUCUCACUGGUUAAGCUGUUGCCAGUGGAGGAGAAAAUCUUUCUUCCUCCUGCUGAAGGCUGUAUAAGUAGUUCACUUCCUGCUGGAGAUGCAAGGUAUGUCUCUUCCCAUGGGUUUGUGGUUUUGGUUGGGUUUGGGGUUUUGUUUGGGGUUUUUGGUUUUUGUGUUUGUUUCUUCCCGCUGGGAUCUGUAUUAAUGCCUAGUGGACUUUCAUAGAGUUCCCCCUUCUGGCCUCUGGCUCCACCUUAGGGAGGUUUUCCUUCAUUAAUUUUUCACUGUUUAAAUCUAAACCCAUGAUUUUAUAAUAUAGGAGGCAGGAUAGCAGAGAGGGUGGGCUUAGAUGUCACCCAGACCUGUGUCCAAAUCCUAGGCCGAGCCCUUUAUCAGCUGUGUGUCUUGGGUGAGUUACAAACCUCUCCUCGCCUUGGUUUUCUCACACAUAAAACGAGGCCAUGAAUAUUUCUUCCUUGUGGAAAAGGAGGGAGAUAAGUGGAAUACUAUUCAGCCAUUAAAAAGAAUGAAAUAAUGCCACUCACAGCAACAUGGAUGCAACUAGAGAUUCUCAUACUAAGGAAAGUAAGUCAGAAAGAUAAAUACCAUAUGAUACCGCUUAUAUGUGCAAUCUAAAAUACAGCACAGGGAGUUCCCGUAGUGGUGCAGCAGAAACAAAUCCAACUAGGAACCAUGAGGUUACAGGUUCAAUCCCUGGCCUCGAUCAGUGGAUUAAGGAUCCAGCGUUGCCGAGAGCUGUGGUGUAGGUCACAGACACAGCUCAGAUCUGUGGCGUAGGCCGGCAGCCAUAGCUCUGAUUUGACCCCUAGCCUGGGAACCUCCAUAUGCCACGGGUGUGGCCCUAAAAAUCAAAAUAAAUAAACAAAUAAAUAAAUAAAAAUAAGAUAUGGCACAAAUGAACCUAUCUACAAAACAGAAACAGACUCACAGACGUAGAGCACAGACUCGUGGUUGCCAAGGUGGAGGGAAGGGGGAGGGGAACGGACUGGGAGUUCAGGGUUAGUGAAUGCAAACUAUUACAUUUAGAAUGGAUACGCAAUGAGGUCCUGCUGUAUAGCACAGGGAACUGUAUCCAAUCUCUUGGGAUAGAUCAUAAUGGAAGAUAAUAUAAAAAGGGAAUGUAUAUGUAUGUAUGAGUGGGUCACUUUGCCAUAUAGCAGAAAUCAGCAUGUCGUGAAUUGACUAUAAUAUAAAAUAAAGUGGAGGAGUUCCCAUCGUGGUUCAGUGGUUAACGAAUCCCACUAGGAACCAUGAGGUUGCAGGUUCGAUCCCUGGCCUUGCUCAGUGGGUUAAGGAUCCGGCAUUGCCGUGAGCUGUGGUGUAGGUCACAGACAUGGCUCGGAUCUGGCAUUCCUGUGGCUCUGGCCUAGGCCAGCCGCUACAGCUCCGAUUUGACCCCUAGCCUGGUAACCUCCAUAUGCCGCAGGAGCAGCCCUAGAAAAGACAAAAAGACCAAAAAUAAAUAAAUAAAUAAAAUAAAGUGAAGGUGGUCGGGCGGACUGUGUUCCCUCUACCAGGGCAAAGGUUAGUUGAUUGACUGACUGACCAUCUGAAUGAAUAUUGGUUGAUUCUGGAGCAGCUGUGAGAAGGCAAAGGGGAUGGAGAGUUGAUAGCAGUGGUUGAGGGAGCCCUGGGCUUGGGUUGAGAGACUUGGGUUCAGGUACUGAAUGUAAAACCGUACACCUCAGUUUGGAACUUGAACUCACGUGCUGGGACUCUAACCCAGCUAAGACUCAGAUCGGUACUUGAACCCAUGGGCCAGGACUCAAACCCGGCCAAAUCCCAGACUGGGACUUGAACUCAUUGGUUUUUUUUUUUGUUUGUUUUUAAUUAAAUUCACACACCUAGUCCCGGGGACGUACUGAAGUGCCGUGGAUGUCUCAGCACAGAAAGAAUUCAGUGAGCGGCAAAGUGAUAGGGAAGAAGUAGCUUUACGGAGAGACAGAGUGUGGGCCAUCUCAAAGGCAAGAGGCCCUGAAAUGCAGGGUAGUGAGUUUUUCUGGGCUGGCGAUUUCAUAGGCUGAUGAGUGGGAGGAUUAAUUCAACUAUUUCUGGGAAGAGGAGGGGGUUUCCAGGAAUUGGGCCACCACUCACUUUUUGGCCUUCUGUCUCAGAACUGUCACGGUGCCUGUGGAUGCUGUGUCAUUCAGUAUAUGCCAGGGUAUUACAAUGAGCAUAUAACGAAACUCCAGGUCCACUGAAAGUCAAAUCAUAAACCACCUUGGACCUAGUUGGUUGUAAACAGUUCUUACCAUAUCCUGAAGGACUCUGUCAUUCUUUCAAGGUUUGUGCCCUGCCUCCUUCCCUCCCGUUUCAAAUGUGCAGGGUGAGAGGAAGGGGCUGAUGGGGGAAGAGCACAGGGAGAGUGACCAGGGCAGAGGCCCACAUGGUUCUGCAGUGAGAGGACAGGACCACCCAGGAGCUGGAGCUCCUUGGUGAGGGGUCAAGUGCCAGAGGUGGGGAGGUCCAGGCUAUGGAGUUCAGAGGUCACCAACUGGAAACCUGAGUGCAUGUCUGGUUUGGCCACUGCUGAGUCCAACUUCAGCCGCUCUAGUAGCUGCUGAGGUGUGGGUUCAAUCCCCAGCCUGGGUGGUAGGUUGCAGGUGUGGCUCCGAUUCAAUUGGAUUCAGUCCCUGGCCCAGGAACUUUUAUAUGCCAUGAAAAUGAUAAUUAACAAGAGUAGGUUCUCGUCCUCCUUGACCUUAGGGGGAGUCAGACAAUGCAGUGAUCAUCACAGAGAGGGUUACACCAUCCCACACAGCAAUAAAGGCUGUUCGGAGAAAUACAGUUUCUAAGAAAACUAAGAGAAUGGGGGGGCUAAUUUAGACUGGGGAUCAGAGAGGAGUGGGAAGUCAAGUCCCCAUCUUCCUUUCAUUUUAAGAAUUUCUUUCCCUGUGCACUAACCCACUUGUUCUGUUGGCAUUAAAGCUCCUUGCUCCAGCCUGGGGACACAGAAACCAUUCAGUAAAUACUGGCUCCUGUUAUCAUUGUUUUUCCCCACAUCCUGCCACCUGUCAUUCACACCCUCCUCCAGAGGAGCAAAGGGCAAGUGUCCCUGCAGGCAGAGGGAAGGCUAAGUGCCCUGAUUUGUUGGCCUAGGCUUUUGUCACAAACCCUGAAGACUGAUGGCCAGGAAAGAAAGGAGGCAUCCUUUCUCUGGCUCCCACAGUGGGCUGAGUGUGGCGCCAGGGCCUUUACAGACAUGCCUUCACUAACGUGGCACCAUCCCCAUUUUACAGAUGGGGAAACCAAGACCCAGGGAGACCAGGGCAAAGCAGAGAUAAAAACCUAGAAGAUCUUGGCUUUGAAAUGCACGUUCUUCGCGCCACACAGCAAGCUGCCAGAAGAAACACAGUGGCUGGUGGUAGGAAAAACAAAAUCAGAUCAACAAAAAAAAGAAAACCACUGAGGAGUUCCCAUCGUGGCUCAGUGGUUAACGAAUCCGACUAGGAACCAUGAAGUUGCAGGUUCGAUCCCUGGCCUUGCUCAGUGGGUUAAGGAUCCGGUGUUGCCGUGAGCUGUGGUAUAGGUCGCAGACGCGGCUCGGAUCCCACGUUGCUGUGGCUCUGGCGUAGGCCAACAGCUACAGCUCUGAUUAGACCCCUAGCCUGGGAACCUCCACAUGCCACGGGAGC
rnacentral:lncRNA from 1 species